rnacentral:misc_RNA from 1 species
UGUGCUGUGUGUUUGUUUUAGAUAACAAACAAAGGAACUGCACUUGCCCCUUUUUAGAUCCAAAAACCUUCAGUCAAUCAUACAAUCGCUCUCUAUUCAAUUCUUCUUUAAUCCCAAACACUUGAUAAUGGGUGUGGCGCAAAACAAUCACGACAUGGAGGAGGGGACGCUGGAGAUCGGCAUGGAGUAUAGAACUGUAUCUGGAGUCGCUGGACCUCUUGUUAUACUUGAUAAGGUCAAGGGACCGAAAUAUCAAGAGAUUGUUAAUAUUCGUUU